CUACGGGCCGCUGCAGUGGGGAAUAUUGGACAAUGGGGGAAACCCUGAUCCAGCAAUGCCGCGUGUGUGAAGAAGGCCUGCGGGUUGUAAAGCACUUUCGGUUGGGAGGACUGCUUCUAGCACUAAUAUUGUUGGAAGUUGACGUUACCUUCAGAAGAAGCACCGGCUAACUCCGUGCCAGGCAGCCGCGGUAAUACGGAGGGUGCAAGCGGUUAAUCGGAAUUACUGGGCGUAAAGCGCGCGUAGGCGGCUAGAUCAGUCGGGUGUGAAAGCCCCGGGCUUAACCUGGGAACUGCAUCCGAUACUGUCUAGCUUGAGUACAGGAGAGGAGAGUGGAAUUCCACAUGUAGCGGUGAAAUGCGUAGAUAUGUGGAGGAACACCAAUGGCGAAGGCAGCUCUCUGGCCUGAUACUGACGCUGAGGUGCGAAAGCGUGGGGAGCAAACAGGAUUAGAUACCCCCGUAGUC
rnacentral:rRNA from 1 species